rnacentral:rRNA from 1 species
AGUGAACGCUGGCGGCAUGCCUAACACAUGCAAGUCGAACGGCAGCACAGUAAGCGCUUGCUCUUACGGGUGGCGAGUGGCGGACGGGUGAGGAAUACAUCGGCAUCUACUUUUUCGUGGGGGAUAACGGAGGGAAACUUACGCUAAUACCGCAUACUACCUACGGGUGAAAGCAGGGGAUAUUGGGACCUUUCGCGAUUGAAUGAGCCGAUGUCGGAUUAGCUAGUUGGUGGGGUAAAGGCCCACCAAGGCAACGAUCCGUAGCUGGUCUGAGAGGAUGAUCAGCCACACUGGAACUGAGACACGGUCCAGACUCCUACGGGAGGCAGCAGUGGGGAAUAUUGGGCAAUGGGCGCAAGCCUGACCCAGCCAUACCGCGUGGGUGAAGAAGGCCUUCGGGUUGUAAAGCCCUUUUGUUGGGAAAGAAAAGCAGCAGGUUAAUACCCCGCUGUUCUGACGGUACCCAAUGAAUAAGCACCGGCUAACUUCGUG